GCCAGCUGACCAACUCACCAACCCACCCAACUAAUCCCCAUCCUGCCGCCGGAGGGAUCUCUCGCCAUGGCGCCGCCGCCCGCCACCGCCACCGCCGCGGCGGCCGCCGCCGUCCGCCCGCACCUGCUACUCCGCCGCGGAGGGGGCCUCAACCUCCCCUCGCCGCCGUGCCCCACCGCGCUCCCCUUCGCCUCGCGGGACGCGGCCGCGCGGCGCCUCCGCCUCCCGCCGCCGCGGUUCUCGCUCUCGCCCGUCCCGAAGAGCCUCUCCGCCGCCUCCCACGUCCCCGUACGGUCCCUCUUCACCGGCAUCGUCGAGGAGGUCGGCCUCGUGCGCCGCCUCGGCCCGCCGCUCGCGCCGUCCGGCGGCGGCGGCGGCGAGGCUCCCGGCCUCGACCUGGAGGUCGAGACGAAGACCCUCCUCGCCGGGACGCAGCUCGGGGACAGCGUCGCGGUCGACGGCACCUGCCUCACCGUGGCGGCGAUCGACCCGGCCGCGUCCACGCUCACCUUCGGCGUCGCGCCCGAGACGCUCCGCCGGACGUCGCUGGGCGAGCGCGCCCCGGGCGACGGCAUCAACCUCGAGCGGGCGCUCACGCCGUCGUCCCGGAUGGGGGGCCACUUCGUGCAGGGCCACGUCGACGGGACCGGCGAGAUCGCCGCGUUCCGGCCCGACGGGGACUCGCUCUGGGUCACCGUGCGCGCACCGCCGGAGAUCCUCAGGCUGCUCGUGCCCAAGGGCUUCGUCGCCGUCGACGGGAGCAGCCUCACCGUCGUCAGCGUCGACGACGAGGGCGGGUGGUUCGACUUCAUGCUCGUGAGGUACACGCAGGACAACAUCGUGCUGCCGACCAAGAAGGUUAGCGACAAGGUGAACCUGGAGGCAGAUAUACUGGGGAAGUAUGUCGAGAAGCUCCUCGCUGGGAGGGUGGAGGCGAUGGCGAAGUCCGAUUCUUGAAAUGCCAUUGUUGAGCUGCUGAAUUGCUCGUCAUUCUAUAGGUAUUACAGCAAGAGAUGGAGGACUUGGAUUCAAUGCUUGUGCCGACUCAGCUUGGGUCCUAAGAUGGAGAUGAAGGCACUUCACCAAUUUCACGCAUGAAGUUUUUGUUAUGACGUUUGGGAGAUGUUCAUUUGGUUGCUGCAACCUGCAACCCCAACAUGGGACUCUACUGCACCUCUCCCUCUGCUGUUUGGUUCGUGAGGUCUGAGCUUUGCGAUCGGAACAAUGCAAUUGCAGCUCCCUUUCAAAUUGCAGCUGGCUGUGUAAACCCUUUCAUUGAUUCCAGAAAAUAAGACUGUUGACUGUAGUGUACUGCAGUUUUUUUU